GACGAACGCUGGCGGCGUGCUUAACACAUGCAAGUCGUACGGUAAGGCCCUUUCGGGGGUACACGAGUGGCGAACGGGUGAGUAACACGUGAGUAACCUGCCCACAACUUUGGGAUAACGCUAGGAAACUGGUGCUAAUACUGGAUAUGUGCUCCUGCUGCAUGGUGGGGGUUGGAAAGCUCCGGCGGUUGUGGAUGGACUCGCGGCCUAUCAGCUUGUUGGUGGGGUAGUGGCCUACCAAGGCGGCGACGGGUAGCCGGCCUGAGAGGGUGACCGGCCACAUUGGGACUGAGAUAUGGCCCAGACUCCUACGGGAGGCAGCAGUGGGGAAUAUUGCACAAUGGGCGCAAGCCUGAUGCAGCAACGCCGCGUGCGGGAUGACGGCCUUCGGGUUGUAAACCGCUUUCAGCAGGGACGAAGCUUUUUGUGACGGUACCUGCAGAAGAAGCACCGGCUAACUACGUG
rnacentral:rRNA from 1 species